rnacentral:rRNA from 1 species
UACGUAGGGCGCAAGCGUUAUCCGGAAUUAUUGGGCGUAAAGAGCUCGUAGGCGGUUUGUCGCGUCUGCCGUGAAAGUCCGGGGCUCAACUCCGGAUCUGCGGUGGGUACGGGCAGACUAGAGUGAUGUAGGGGAGACUGGAAUUCCUGGUGUAGCGGUGAAAUGCGCAGAUAUCAAGCGGAACACCAGUGGCGAAGGCGAGUCCCUGGACAACUCCUGACACUGAGGCACGAAAGCUAGGGGAGCAAACAGG